rnacentral:rRNA from 1 species
GACGAACGCUGGCGGCGUGCUUAACACAUGCAAGUCGAACGGUGAAGCUCCAGCUUGCUGGAGUGGAUCAGUGGCGAACGGGUGAGUAACACGUGAGCAACCUGCCCCUGACCCUGGAAUAAGCGCUGGAAACGGCGUCUAAUACUGGAUACGAGAAGGGUCCGCAUGGGCACUUUCUGGAAAGUUUUUCGGUUGGGGAUGGGCUCGCGGCCUAUCAGCUUGUUGGUGAGGUAAUGGCUCACCAAGGCGACGACGGGUAGCCGGCCUGAGAGGGCGACCGGCCACACUGGGACUGAGAAACGGCCCAGACUCCUACGGGAGGCAGCAGUGGGGAAUAUUGCACAAUGGGCGAAAGCCUGAUGCAGCGACGCCGCGUGAGGGAUGACGGCCUUCGGGUUGUAAACCUCUUUCAGCAGGGAAGAAGCGAAAGUGACGGUACCUGCAGAAGAAGCACCGGCUAACUACGUG